AAACUUUCAACAACGGAUCUCUUGGUUCUGGCAUCGCAUGAAGAACGCAGCGAAAUGCGAUAAGUAAUGUGAAUUGCAAAAUUCAUUGAAUCAUCCAAUCUUUGAACGCACAUUGCGCCCGCUGGAAUUCCAGCGGGCAUGCCUGUUCGAGC
rnacentral:rRNA from 1 species